GCCAGACUCCUACGGGAGGCAGCAGUGGGGAAUAUUGGGCAAUGGGCGCAAGCCUGACCCAGCAACGCCGCGUGAAGGAAGAAGGCUUUCGGGUUGUAAACUUCUUUUCUCAGGGACGAAGCAAGUGACGGUACCUGAGGAAUAAGCCACGGCUAACUACGUGCCAGCAGCCGCGGUAAUACGUAGGUGGCAAGCGUUAUCCGGAUUUACUGGGUGUAAAGGGCGUGUAGGCGGGAAAGCAAGUCAGAUGUGAAAACCACGGGCUCAACCUGUGGCCUGCAUUUGAAACUGUUUCCCUUGAGUGUCGGAGAGGUAAUCGGAAUUCCUUGUGUAGCGGUGAAAUGCGUAGAUAUUAGGAGGAACACCAGUGGCGAAGGCGGCCUGCUGGACGACAACUGACGGUGAGGCGCGAAAGCGUGGGGAGCAAACAGGAUUAGAUACCCCCGUA
rnacentral:rRNA from 1 species